rnacentral:misc_RNA from 1 species
AGCAGCCGCGGUAAUUCCAGCUCCAAUAGCGUAUAUUAAAGUUGUUGCAGUUAAAAGCUCGUAGUUGAAUUUCGGGAUUGGCGCAUCGGUCGUGCCUCACGGGGUAUGAACUGGUGCAGUCAAUUUCUCACCUUCUGGAGAACCGCGAUGUCCUUAAUUGGAUGCCGCGGGGAACCAGGACCUUUACUUUGAAAAAUUAGAGUGUUUAAAGCAGGCAUUUUUGCUUGAAUACAUUAGCAUGGAAUAAUAAAAUAGGACGGCAUGGUUCAUUUUGUUGGUUUCUAGGACCACCGUAAUGAUUAAUAGGGAUAGUUGGGGGCAUUAGUAUUCAAUUGUCAGAGGUGAAAUUCUUGGAUUUAUUGAAGACUAACUACUGCGAAAGCAUUUGCCAAGGAUGUUUUCAUUAAUCAAGAACGAAAGUUAGGGGAUCGAAGACGAUCAGAUACCGUCGUAGUCUUAACCAUAAACUAUGCCGACUAGGAAUCAGACCGAUGUUAAUUUUUAAUGUACUUCGUUUGGC